GUGCCAGCCGCCGCGGUAAUACCAGCACCCCGAGUGGUCGGGACGUUUAUUGGGCCUAAAGCAUCCGUAGCCGGUUCUACAAGUCUUCCGUUAAAUCCACCUGCUCAACAGAUGGGCUGCGGAAGAUACUAUGGAGCUAGGAGGCGGGAGAGGCAAGCGGUACUCGAUGGGUAGGGGUAAAAUCCGUUGAUCCAUUGAAGACCACCAGUGGCGAAGGCGGCUUGCCAGAACGCGCUCGACGGUGAGGGAUGAAAGCUGGGGGAGCA
rnacentral:rRNA from 1 species